rnacentral:rRNA from 1 species
CACGUAGGGGGCGAGCGUUGUCCGGAUUUAUUGGGCGUAAAGAGCUCGUAGGCGGUUUGGCAAGUCGGGUGUGAAAUUUCGAGGCUCAACCUCGAAACGCCACUCGAUACUGCCAUGACUGGAGUCCGGUAGAGGAGUGCGGAAUUCCUGGUGUAGCGGUGAAAUGCGCAGAUAUCAGGAGGAACACCAAUUGCGAAGGCAGCUCGCUGGGACGUUACUGACGCUGAGACGCGAAAGCGUGGGGAGCAAACAGG